rnacentral:rRNA from 1 species
UACGUAGGGGGCAAGCGUUGUCCGGAAUCAUUGGGCGUAAAGAGCGUGUAGGCGGCCCGGUAAGUCCGCUGUGAAAGUCCAGGGCUCAACCCUGGGAUGCCGGUGGAUACUGUCGGGCUCGAGUCCGGAAGAGGAGUGUGGAAUUCCUGGUGUAGCGGUGAAAUGCGCAGACAUCAGGAGGAACACCAAUGGCGAAGGCAGCACUCUGGGACGUGACUGACGCUGAGACGCGAAAGCGUGGGGAGCAAACAGG